rnacentral:tRNA from 1 species
UGGUAUAKAAAGGACUUUAACCCUUAUUAUUGAAGCUACAAUUCAACACCUGUUCGGCCACUUUACC